ensembl:lncRNA
GGCCUAGAGACUAGCACGCAGAAAGACGCAUGGAUGGACAGACGGGUCAAGAGACUAGCACGCAGAAAGACACAUGGAUGGACAGACGGGUCAAGAGACUGGCACGCAGAAAGAUGCAUUGGUGGACAGAUGGGCCAAGAGACUACCACGCAGAAAGACGCAUUGGUGGACAGAGAGACAGAAACUCGGGUGGAACACAUGGAUGCACAGACAGAUAGAUACAAAGACAGGUGUACAGAUGGACAAAUAACAGGACCGAUCAAAAGACAGACAGAUGGACAGGCAGACAGGAAGAUGUGUGGACAGACCAACUGAUGGAUGGCUACAUGGAUUGAAAGACUGAUAAAUGGAUGGAUAUUCUGACUGACAUACAGACGGGUGAUUAAACCUACAGCUGGGAGGCUAGACUGCUGAGCAGACAAAUAGAGAAUCAUGCGGAUAGAAAAAAAAAUUCUAUCCGAAAUGAGUGUAAAUUCAUGUUCCUGAUUCUGCGCGCACACCGAUACCCAGACCACACCAUCAGAAUAAAAUAUUAGGAAAGACACAUUCAGUCAGACAUUCGACUGCUGCUACUAUUAAUAUAGAUGGUGUGUAUUUCUGUCUCCCUUCAGCAGUGAAUACUGGCCAUGUGAAGUGCUGUCCUGCCGGCGUUCUCGUCAUGCUCGUCAUCGCUCGUCAUCGCUCCGUCUCUGUACGCAGACGCUACAUCCUACUCCUUCAUUUUAUUCGGUUUUCCUUCCUCCAUUCCUCGCAGGAGAGCGAAACCUGGCGAGCCCUUCCUUUACAAAGCUGAGCUUACUUCAUUUAUAAGUUUUUGUAUGUACUGUCUUAACUACUUAAUGGGAAUUAUUUUAAAAGCAACAUGUUUUCUCUAGUGCUCCUUUUAAAAUGGUUUCUUGUUCCUGUUGCUUUUUUUUGUGUGUGUGUAAAAUACACACACACACAUCCUGUUUGUUUUUUUUGUACAUAUAUGUGUGUUGAGCAAGGGGCAGGUACCGUGUACAGUGUUGAUUCGCCACACGGCUGCAGUGUUCAGCGAGACGGCGUCCCUUCAGUAAAAACGAAUCAUCAAUGCCAACCUUUAAAAACUGGCGUAUCGGUAAUCCGACACGUCUUCAUAUUAUGAUCAGUUUACCCCAGUUUACAAUACGACGAUAUCACGAUUACAUUUACAAUCCUACGUUAAUACACCGAUUAUGCAGAGUGACAGACGUCCGUGCUUCAUCAAGGGCGGAGCUUGCGUUCGAUCAGCCAAUUGCGAGUCUGAUCUUCAGCAUGAACGUUUCUGUUUGACGACUUACUGGUCUAAUCACACGACGUAACGGUGAACCUCACUAGCCAAAGACGGCUACCUUUUCUCCAGCUAACCAGUCUUAUCUAACUUUAACGUUAACUCUUCAGCAUAUGUUAUAUUGUGUGAUUAAAAUAAUUCUUUUAAUGCAUCACAAGUACAAGCGAUCUCACAUCUUGUUUGUGAUUGGCCGACUGCGUUGAUCUUUUUGACCACAGGACGCCUUUUACUUUGCAAAAUCAGGAUGUUUGGGGUUUUUUUUUUUCCAGUCCUGUUUUUUAAAAAUUAAUUUAUAUAUAAAUAUAUCUAUCGCCUUUACUCAAGAUAUGUCAACGAUACGGACACUUUAAAGAUGACUGUCCUUAUACUGCCUUAUGAGUAGGACAGAAUUUAUCCCCACAUAUUUAGUCCACGUGUGUCAAAUAUAGCAUAACUAACUAUUGGCACAUACUUAAUAUGUAGAUAUAAUGUACAUUUUAAUUGCAUUAGCACUGAUGAUGAUGAUGAUGAUGAUGAUGUCUAUUCCAUCCGAUCCAUAUACAGUGAUUUCGCUUUGAUCAAACACUAACAUACACAGACUAACCCCGGUCCUGCACACUAUUAUUAAAGACUUUAGCUUGAAUCGUGUGGAUGCAGAUGCACUCGUUAACGUGUGUGCAAACUUAAAGCCAGGUUUUACUCCAGUCGACAGAAAGAUGUGUUCUUAAACGAUGGUUUGAUCGAAUCUGUGGCCUCUUCGUAUCGAUACCGACGCCGUAAAUCCCUUAAGGCAAAACAAGACGCCAUGUUGUAUUGGAUUCAUGAGCACAGCUGCCAUUUGUAUCUUUGUUGUACCAUAAUAAACUGUUGUCUUUUCUUGAAGGCUCUCUUCACACCUUUAUUUAAAAUGUGUAUGGUAAUAAAGUUAAUGUAAAUUCAACUUACUGUGUUGCACAUUCAUUUAAAAUAAUUUUAAAAAAUGGAAAAAGCCAAAGCUUGCUUAUACAGACUGCAUUUAUGUUGGUGGGGUGUGUGUGUGUGUGUGUGUGUUAAGAUCAUUCAUUUGAAAAUAAUCUUAAAGCAAAC